CGGGAUAUGGCUCAGUUUGGUUAGAGCGCCUGGUUUGGGACCAGGAGGUCAUAGGUUCAAUCCUAUUAUCCCGA